rnacentral:rRNA from 1 species
UACCUACGGGACGCAGCAGUAGGGAAUCUUCCACAAUGGACGAAAGUCUGAUGGAGCAACGCCGCGUGAGUGAAGAAGGGUUUCGGCUCGUAAAGCUCUGUUGGUAGUGGAGAAAGAUAGAGGUAGUAACUGGCCUUUAUUUGACGGUAAUUACUUAGAAAGUCACGGGUAACUACGUGCCAGCAGCAGCGGGAAUACGUAGGGGGCAAGCGUUGUCCGGAUUUAUUGGGCGUAAAGCGAGUGCAGGCGG